UACGGAGGGUGCAAGCGUUAUCCGGAUUCACUGGGUUUAAAGGGUGCGUAGGCGGGUUGGUAAGUCCGUGGUGAAAUCCCCAAGCUUAACUUGGGAACUGCCGUGGAUACUAUCAAUCUUGAAUAUCGUGGAGGUAAGCGGAAUAUGUCAUGUAGCGGUGAAAUGCUUAGAUAUGACAUAGAACACCGAUUGCGUAGGCAGCUUACUACACGAUCAUUGACGCUGAGGCACGAAAGCGUGGGGAGCAAACAGG
rnacentral:rRNA from 1 species